UUACGGCCAUAUCGCGUUGAAAAUCGGGUUCUCGUUCAAUCACCGAAGUUAAGUAACCUCUGGUCUGGUUAGUACAUAGAGGGGUGACUACUUAGGAAUACAAGGUGCUGUAAG